rnacentral:rRNA from 1 species
AUUGAACGCUGGCGGCAGGCCUAACACAUGCAAGUCGAGCGGAUGAAGGGAGCUUUCUCCUGGAUUCAGCGGCGGACGGGUGGGUAAGGCCUAGGAAUCUGCCUGGUAGUUGGGGAUAACGUCCGGAAACGGGCGCUAAUACCACAUCCGUCCUGAGGGAGAAAGUGGGGGAUCUUCGGACAUCACGCUAUCAGAUGAGCCUAGGUCGGAUUAGCUAGUUGGUGGGGUAAAGGCCUACCAAGGCGACGAUCCGUAACUGGUCUGAGAGGAUGAUCAGUCACACUGGAACUGAGACACGGUCCAGACUCCUACGGGAGGCAGCAGUGGGGAAUAUUGGACAAUGGGCGAAAGCCUGAUGCAGCCAUGCCGCGUGUGUGAAGAAGGUCUUCGGAUUGUAAAGCACUUUAAGUUGGGAGGAAGGGCAGUAAGUUUAUCCCUUGCUGUCUUGACGUUACCUACACAAUAAGCCCCGGCUAACUUCGUG